GGGCGAUUGUUACUCUUAACAAUCGAUUGUGAAUUGAAACUUCAUUUCAAUUCUCCCUUUGAUUAAGAUUUAGUGUUUGCUAAUCUUCAGGGCUUCCACAAACCAUGAGUGACACCUAGCAGCAUGUCAUGGCUACCCAAGCUAAAUAGAAUUGGUUGGAGAACCUAUCCAGUUACAAUUACAAUGCAAUACGGUCAUUCUCUAAUACAAUACUUUUAAUCACAUUGUUUGAGUGAUAGUUUGUUUCAUGUCUACUAUCCAAUGUAAUACUUCUCUAUAUGAUUCAAUUGAAUAUGAUUUGGAACAUACUUCCUAAGUCAUAUUCGUAUGCUUUGGCCAAAGACUCCCGAAUCAUAUCUUAGAGUAUUCUCCUUCCACCAUGGAAGGUUAGAGAUCCCUUGUUGUGCAUUCAUAUGCCUACAUGACUAGAUAGCUUAACCCCAACAAUGUCGUGGACACUCUCGAUGGAAUGCCUUUGACAUGAUCAAAGAUCAAAGACCUAAUCAUUAGACAUCUAUGAUGCCUCAAGUCAAAGGACUACUUUGCAUAUUGCAACUAACGAGUUCUUACAUGACAUGUAUGUUCGAACUCUCUUUUGAUCGUUGUUCAGUGUACUCGACUACCCUUUCGAGCACCUAUGUGUUUGUCUUAGUGUCCAACACUAAAUGACUUGAGACUAGUCAUACUCGCACUUGAGUUGACAUAACACAUACUAACUUUAGCAGAUUGUCAAUGCCCAAUUGGCAAUCCUAUGGCUAGGAACGUUUUAGGAAUGAACAUAAGAAAAAGGUCUCGUUAAUCUAACUUACUUAGAUCACUUAUCUCUUAGAUCAAAUACAUUUCUUGGAUUACCUUAUUGCUUAAACACAUGAUACAACAAAUAGUGAUUAACAAUAAGCUUUGCCCUUCAUUAAACAUAUAAUAGUUUAAUACAAUAAGUAUUCCAAAAGCUAUUACAUCAAAUGAAUGGCUUUGUGGGCAUACUUCCAACAAAGUCUAGGUAUGACUCUAGGGUUUGACAUUUCGCCUAGUGGAUAGGUUUGAGGUUCCCUAGAUAAGGUAUUUGGUUGGAUAGGCGACAAGGGCCCUCCCUAAAAGUUACGUGUUGUCUUGUCUUAAGGACACAGUUGUAGUUCGAAAAGACGCAAGGAAGAAUUGGUGUAGUACAUAAAAUGUAUCGAGGUGUACCUCACCUCACUAAUUGGUGAUGGCUCCGUAAGGAAUUGGAGAAAUGACGCCAAAGGUACACGUCCUCGAAUUGUACGAUACUGCUUCUUUUCCUUACGCCACGCACUAUAAGGUCUUCGUAAGUCUCUCAAAACUCGUUCUGCUCCUACAAUAGAAAAUUGCUCAAGCUUCGACUCCAUUGUUUGCUUGUGAAAGUGAUCGGAAAAGCAAGCCAUUUGGUCACUUUCAGCUCAUUUUUUCGGCUAACCUCGACCACAACUGGACUCCUAAUAGGUAUAGACUUGUUCUCUAUAUCCCUAACUUCAAAAUGGUUUUUGAAUCACUGAGUUUGGUUAACUAUCAAAUUAGAAAUCAACUCUGAAAGUUGGGAGGAAAUUCCCAAAUUCUAUCAGUUUUAGAUUUUUUUUUUGUUUUAGUCCUAAAUUUUUUGGUGAAGCCCUUGAGACACCAAAGUAGUCUUCUGACUUUCUAAUAUAGUUUCCACAAAUGCUUUUUAACUGUUUUGUGCAUAUUAUGCCAUGAGUUAUAUAAUUUUAAAAUGUUGUUAUAUGGUUGAGAUUUAUAUAUUUGAUCAUGGCAUAUCCAUAUGCAUUUUACUUGCUCUUAAAUAUUUUGCUAUUGUGAAAUGUUAAGUAAUGCUUUGUUUGGCAUGAUUGAAUGGUAUGGCAUGCUCAUCAUAUAAUGGCUCAUCAUUGCUACACCCAGGUGUUAGUGCUCAUCCUAGGCUAAGCUAGUCUUUCACGUGUCAUUCACAUCAACACCGCACACUCGCCUUGGAUCCAAGUAGGUGCUAGCCCUGUCGUAUAGAUUGCAAUAGGCAAUUCUAACUCGUAUGUGACUGCGAAUAGCGCUAGCCUUCACAUGAUUGUAGGACUAAAGCAUAUAUUAUUGAACCUAGCCCUGUCGUACAGGUUACAUUAGGUGACUCCGACUCGUGUGUUAGCAUAUAUGGAGCGAUAUGUGCAGUCGUACAGGUCAUAUUAAGUGACUCCGACUUCUUGGUAGUUUAGUUUGGUGAGCACAUGAUUAUAUUUUAUUGCUGUUGAGAUAUUCUGCUAUGGCAUAUUUCUAGAUUUAUUAUUGGCAUGCAUUUGGUUUCAUACUUAUACGUAGUAUGUUUUACGGAAACUAUACUUGUUUUACAACGAGGGGUUACUAUGUUUGAAAAUAAAGGUUUUCCUACAAACGUUGUUUUGCUGACCCACUUAACCUUAUUUUUCGCCCCUCCAAGUUUAGUAGAUGUGCUUACGUGUAAAAGAGGAUCCUGGCAAAUCUUAGGAGAUGGUUACCUUUAGUGGUAUAACCCUUAUCCUAUUUACUAUACUGUCUUCUGCUCUGACAUCACGUGUGAAAUGGGUUUAAUCCCGCUCACCCGCGCACUCUUUUGAUUGGGUACUUUUAGGUUUAAAUUAAUUCACA
rnacentral:lncRNA from 1 species